rnacentral:rRNA from 1 species
AAACUAGGAUUAGAUACCCUUUUAUCAUUUUUUUAGGUAUUAUUAGAUAUUCUUGAAACCUAAGAAUUCUGGCGGUUUCUUUUCUUUUCAGAGGGGCUUGCUUUUUAAUCGAUAGUCCUCGUUUAUUUUUUCUUUCUCUUUUAGUUUAUAUACCUCCGUUUGAAGAUGAAUAUUAAUUUUUCUUUCUUUUAAAAUUAUUGUUUAAUUCAGGUCAAGGUUUAGCCUAUGAGUAAGAUUAAGUUAGCCAUGUGUUUUUACUUUUUUUUUAAUGAAGCUUUUAGGAUUUGUUGGUAAAAUUAUAGUAGAUUUCAAGUUUGAAUUAGUUAAAAGGUAUGUACAUAUUGCCCGUCACUCUUUUAUAAGAUAAGUCGUAACAUAGUA